UACGGAGGAUCCAAGCGUUAUCCGGAAUUACUGGGCGUAAAGAGUUGCGUAGGUGGCAUAGUAAGCGAGUAGUGAAAGCGUGUGGCUCAACCAUACAUCCAUUACUUGAACUGCUAAGCUAGAGUAUGAGAGAGGUAGAUGGAAUUCCCUGUGUAGGAGUGAAAUCCGUAGAUAUAGGGAGGAACACCGAUGGCGUAGGCAGUCUACUGGCUCAUUACUGACACUAAGGCACGAAAGCGUGGGGAGCAAACGGG
rnacentral:rRNA from 1 species